rnacentral:rRNA from 1 species
GGAGGCCCCAAGCGUUGUUCGGAUUUACUGGGCGUAAAGGGUGCGUAGGCGGUGAGAUAAGUUUGGCGUGAAAGCUCCGGGCCCAACCCGGAAAAUGCGCUGAAAACUAUUUCACUAGAGGAUUGGAGGGGAGACUGGAAUUCCUGGUGUAGCAGUGAAAUGCGUUAAUAUCAGGAGGAACACCAAUGGCGAAGGCAAGUCUCUGGACAAUUCCUGACGCUGAGGCACGAAGGCCAGGGGAGCGAAGAGGAUUAGAUACCCUCGUAGUCCUGGCAGUAAACGGUGCGCACUUGCUGUGGGCGUGUUCGACCGCGUCCGUGGCGAAGCUAACGCGUUAAGUGCGCCGCCUGGGGAGUACGGCCGCAAGGUUAAAACUCAAAGAAAUUGACGGGGGCCUGCACAAGCGGUGGAGCAUGUGGCUUAAUUCGAUGCAACGCGAAGAACCUUACCUGGGCUUGACAUGUUUGUCGUAGUCCCGUGAAAGCGGGACGUCAGUUCGGCUGGACAAUCACAGGUGCUGCAUGGCUGUCGUCAGCUCGUGUCGUGAGAUGUUGGUUUAAGUACCGCAACGAGCGCAACCCCUGUGUCCUGUUGCCACGGAGAACACGUUUCUUCAGCACUCUGGACAGACUGCCCCAUUUUUAGUGGGGAGGAAGGUGGGGAUGACGUCAAGUCAGUAUGGCCCUUACGCCCAGGGCUGCACACGUGCUACAAUGCCUAGUACAAUGGGAAGCAAGACCGCGAGGUGGAGCCAAUCCCCAAAACUAGGCCCAGUUCGGAUUGGAGUCUGCAACUCGACUCCAUGAAGUUGGAAUCGCUAGUAACGGCGCAUCAGCUACGCGCCGUGAUACGUUCCCAGGCCUU